rnacentral:rRNA from 1 species
AUGAACGCUGGCGGCGUGCCUAAUCCAUGCAAGUCGCGCGAACAGACGAGGAGCUUGCUCCUCUGACGUUAGCGGCGGACGGGUGAGUAACACGUGGAUAACCUACCUAUAAGACUGGGAUAACUUCGGGAAACCGGAGCUAAUACCGGAUAAUAUAUUUAACCGCAUGGUUCAAUAGUGAAAGACGGUUUUGCUGUCACUUAUAGAUGGAUCCGCGCCGCAUUAGCUAGUUGGUAAGGUAACGGCUUACCAAGGCAACGAUGCGUAGCCGACCUGAGAGGGUGAUCGGCCACACUGGAACUGAGACACGGUCCAGACUCCUACGGGAGGCAGCAGUAGGGAAUCUUCCGCAAUGGGCGAAAGCCUGACGGAGCAACGCCGCGUGAGUGAUGAAGGUCUUCGGAUCGUAAAACUCUGUUAUUAGGGAAGAACAAAUGUGUAAGUAACUAUGCACGUCUUGACGGUACCUAAUCAGAAAGCCACGGCUAACUACGUG